GCGGGGGUGGCAGAGCAUGGCCAAAUGCGCAGGCCCGAGGCGCCUGUGCCUUUAGAGGCUACGUGGGUUCAAAUCCCACCUCCCGCA
rnacentral:tRNA from 1 species